GGAAGCUCCUGUGGCUGAAAUUGAGGAAGCACUUUUGGAAGUCAGGGCUCCCCGCACUGGAAGUGCCGCCUCGGGAGGUGCUGAGCACGUAUGCAGGCAGCUGGCAGCUGCCCAUCCUGAGCCAGCCGUGGAGCUGAGGAAGAGCAAAGGAGGUGCUGUCUCCCGCCUACCAGACAGUGGCUGCCUUGCUGUGGAUGCAGCCUGAAGCCCGCGUGUGCUGGGGGUGACCCCCUCUCCUUUUGGCAUUCUUGGGACUAAGUCACAGAACUGAGGCUUGAAAUUUAACUGAAUCUUGGCCUCCUCAUAGGAGACCCCUCAGUGCCUCAGCUUCCACAUAUACAAAUGAGAGGUCGCAGCAGAUACCACAGGGCUCGGGCAGCUCCUAGGCCUCUGCCAGGUGACUUGGGGUCUAACAGGCACCCAGGCCAGUGUCCACCAGCCGGAUUCCAGGUGGAGGUCAGGUGAGCAUUUUCUUGCCAAGUCUGGGGUCCCCACCCUCAGCCCCCAAGCUAAACCCAGAUGCCAGGGAUGGAAAUGGUUCGGAGCAUGCUGCUGUUCUUGUCUCUGCCAAGGUGAGUGUGCGGAAAGGAGGCUGCCCCAAGAAACUGCAUUUGACCUUCGCUAAAAUUAGGUUCCAAGUCCCAAGGGGUAAUUGAAAUGAGGAUGAAAAUGAGAAAGCAAAUUGAGGACACUGGGGGAUGUUAAAAAUACGCGUCUGUACUAAUGGAAGCGAUGGAAUGAGGACUCCCCUAAGCACGGAAGCGCUCCGGAGACUGCCACCUAAGGCAGAAUCACAGCACAGGUGAGAAGGGACCCCGGGAGCACCUGGCUCCCCCAGUCCCCUUGUCCUGCAGACAGGAAGGCUGAGCCCAUGGAGGGCAUGAGGUCCAAGGCCAGCCCAGCACAGCUCCAGAGCCAGACAAUUUGAGGGCCCACUGCCCGCUCCAGGAGCUGCCUCGGGUCCAGGAAGUCCCUGGGAGCCCCUCCUGCUGAAGAAACUGGGCUCCUUGGGGACGGCUCAGCCCUUUAUGAACUGCCAUGAGCUUCGGAAAGGUGAUGGCUGGAAGUGCACGUCACAGCGCCUGGCCACGAUAUCUGCCCGUAAACCUCGGUUAUUGUUUUCAUUAAUACUGAUCAGCGGAGCGGAGUGAUGUGAGAACAGGUUUGCAGGAAAUGAAUUCUCCCCUGGCAACUGAGUAGCAAGGGAAAAAGGCUGGUCCAGCCAGGGGAGGCUCCCCGUGUGGGCAAGGUGGGUGACCAGGGAGGCCGAGGCCAUGCAGAGGAAGGAGGGAGGGAGUGGGAGCUGCUUUGCACUUGAAGCCAGGGCAGCGGCAGCACUGCAGAGCCCCUUCUUGUGCACCUACUAGGUGCCGGAACACAACUGAGGAAUGGGGGUGAGGGCCUCUGGUUCCAGCCACUCUGUCCAGUGGGGCUCAGAGCCUGGCUGUCCCUCUGUGUCAUGGUCCCAGUCCUGCCAUCUUGUCUGGCUAGCUGCUGCUCCCCUCUCUCCCUCCUGCCUCCCCUUCAGUGGCCCCGUUCCUGAGCCUGUGCUGUCUGCUCCCCUGCUGACCUUGCUGCCUUUGUGGUUGCGAUCCUGCCAUCUGAGUGCUCCCCUCCACAGGCCUGGACCCUGCAGACGGGGGGCUCCAUCCAGGGGGCCGUGUGGACUUCAGACUUUCACCUCCUGCAUUGGCACAAAUGCUCCCCUUGGAAGCCCCUUCCUGGAGUUUGGGGAGUGGUACCCCUGCUGGGUGCACCUAGCUCCAGGAGCGAGGCUGGGGUCAAGGAUCCUGGAGACGUCCCCACUGGGCCUGUUUCUUUGUGACAUAUGCCAGCUGGGCAAUGUCCUCAUGCCUCCCAGCUGCAAGAGAAGCCCAGGAUUCUCCCAGUCUGGAGUGGGCUCUGAGCCCGCAAGAGAUCUCCCCGAAGAGAAAAGAGGAGGAGUUGGAACACUGGAUCACAUGGUCCUCCAUGUUCAAUGUCGGAGGAACUGUGAGACUAUUUCCCAAAGCAGCUCACGUUGUACAGUUCUGGAGCGAGCAGGAGAGUUCCAGUUCCUCCUCAUCCUCCCAAUACCCCUUAUCACCCCCCUGUUGAUUAUAGUCCUCCCUGCGAAUGGGAAGCGCUACCCACUGUGGUUUUGAUUUGCGUUUCCCUACUAGCUCAUGACACUGAGCAUCUCUUCAGCUACUUCUUGUACUGGACAUUUGUUCAUCUUCUUUGGAGAAGUGUCUAUUCAUAUUAUUUGCCCAUUUUUAAAUGAGUUAUUUGUCUUAUAUUAUUGAAUUGUAAACUUCUUUUGCAUAUUCUGUGUACAAGUCCCUUAUGAGAUAGAAGAUUUGCGAAUAUUUCCUCCCUUUCUUCAGGGUGUCUUUUCAUUUCCUUGAUGGUGUCUUUUAUAAAUUUUGAUGAAUUUCAAAGCUGGGAAUGUGACCUGGUUGUAGAGCACUUGCCUAGCAUCAUAAGGCCCAAGU